GAGCGCCGUGUGAUGGGAAACUAUCAUGCACGGUGCGGGGCAGGGGAAAAACCCGAGGCGGCAGUGCCAGAGGUUUACCUAUUGCCAU
rfam:Clostridiales bacterium 1_7_47_FAA supercont2.3 genomic scaffold, whole genome shotgun sequence.